UUUUGUAUUAUAAAUCAAAAAGGUCUUAAGUAUGAAGUCGAAAUGUUUUGUAUAUAUGUUAAAGAGGCAUUGUCCAAAGUUUUAAUAUUUUUAUGUGUUAGCUUUGAUCGUCAAAGAAUUUACUUUCCCAAGCGUCAACGAUGCGCAAAGUGAAUAGUCACUCUCAAAAGAGGCGAGUCAGUCUAGUUUGAUUUUUGUAAAUAUGUUUUAUUGUUUUUAUAGAUGUUAUUAAUUUUGAGAAAUUAAUAGACG
rnacentral:lncRNA from 1 species